CUCAUGAAGAUUGUACCAAGAAUAUGCCUCCUUGUCUGUAAGGAAGAUGGUUUUCAUACAUUUGCUCUUAUCCGUCCAACUUCUGCAGUCUGCUUAAUAGUAUUCAGUCAAAUCCUUUUCCUUUCCAUGGGACAUACAUUCAAGUGGAAUUUUACCAAAUGGUCUUGAGGCAUUGUGUUUUGGUGACAACAUCCUUAUUCAGCUGUCCUACUGCUAACCUUGUGAUGAAGAAUGCACUAGGAAUCAUGCUUUGUACAUUAAGUGGAUCCAAAGGUUGGGGGAACAGCACAGAGAGAAGGGCCAAUGCAAGAAUAGCCAUCAUAU